UUGAAUAUUAUGUUAUGAAGACCCUGGAUUAUGUUAUAUUUCCACUACAGAGUGUUGAUUUUUGUGCUCAUUUUGUCAGGUAAUUUACUUGGUUGGACUAAAAAUACAAACAUAGUCUUUCGGCAAGCUGCUCAAAUGUCAGUUCACUUCUUUUAUCCUUAGCUGAUCUGCUUGUAGUCUGUCCUAUGUAUGUGUAACUUAGAGGUUGGCCAGAGAUUUGUACAGAGUUUAUAAAGAAGUCUUCCCUCUGACUCUCACCUUUCCAGGAUUUCCGCCUCACUUUCCAGUGGCUAUGAUUGCCCUCAACUCUGUCCUCUGAGUUUUCAGGCCAGAAAUACUGCAGGUGUUCUACUGAACACCUCAAAUGGUGCUGACUGCAGUAUACUGAAAGGCAUUUAAAAAAUGAGAAACUCAUCCUGUGCCAUUCCCUUCCUCCAGGUGUUGACUCCUCUCUGGAACCUGUCUGCCUUUGUUUAUUCUCCAGUGCUUCAGGAAGCCAAAACUUAAAGAAGCAACUCCAUGACCCGUGCUGCAGUUUUAGUACUAUAUGUGCUGCUGAAGUGAUCACUUCAAGACACCUUUGGAUCUUCAUCACUCACUUGUUCUUUGAUCAAAUGGAAAACCACUGCAUUAAUUCCGUUUGGGCAAGUUGUCACUAUGACCUUACUUGGUCUUGUUGCUUCUUGCUGGAGAGAUUUUUCUCUACUCCUGUCUCUAUAACUCAGAGGCUUUUACCAGUGAUCUUGCCCUGACUGUAAAAUUCUCGUUUCUAAAAAAAAAGAAUGCAAGGCUAUUGGUUGGUCUAGAAUGAGUUUGUCUCAAAACAUAUUUUGUUAAAUACAUUGAUUUCCUGAGCUGACCACUGACCAAAGUAAUAUUCUGCUGUCCCUGUCAUUAGUAGCUUUAUCCUGCUUUUCUAUCUCCCAAUCCAAGGCUGUCCCCAAAACUUCACUAGAUGAGCCUUAAGUCAAAACACCCAAGUUCUGAGGACUGCGUCUAUCUCAAAAAAGGACAUGCAAUUCUAAUUUAUUUAAACCUCACUUUACAGUUAAUCUUGGCUCAGAAUUAAACAAAAACUUAAAUAGAAAACUCAGUCAAACAAGUUAUUCACAUGAAGUCAUAAACCAGCAACCAUCCACCCACGCACCCACCCACUCAUUCAGCCCACAAAUAUUACUGAGCACUUACAAAGUGCCCACGUGCAGUAUUAAUUACUUGGAACGGCUCCGUGAGCAAAACAGACAAAGUCCCUGCCCUUAUGAAG